rfam:Cavia porcellus supercont2_29 genomic scaffold, whole genome shotgun sequence.
GGGGAUUUAGCUCAGCGGCAAAAGCGCCUGCCUUAUAAGCAGACAGUUGUGAGUUCGAUCCCCG